GGAUGUGAGGGCGAUCUGGCUGCGACAUCUGUCACCUCAUUGAUUGCCAGGGUUGAUUCGGCUGAUCUGGCUGGCUAGGCGGGUGUCCCCCUCCUCCCUCACCGCUCCAUGUGCGUCCCUCCCGAAGCUGCGCACUCUGUCGAAGAGGACGACCAUCCCUGAUAGAGGAGGACCGGUCUUCGGUCAAGGGAAUACGAGUAGCUGCCCUCCCCUGCUAGAACCUCCAAACAAGCUCUCAAGAAAGCUACUGACUUUUGUGCAUUGAUUUUAUACCCUGUUAUUUUUCCAAAGUUUUUAAUCAGCUUUAGGAGCUUGCGGGAGAAGUAUCUAGGGUCCU
rfam:Dipodomys ordii contig_23434, whole genome shotgun sequence.